UUGCGGGAUCGUCUAAUGGCAGGACAGAUGGCUCUGGACCAUCUGGUGGGGGUUCGAAUCCUCCUCCCGCAGA
rnacentral:tRNA from 1 species